rnacentral:rRNA from 1 species
CUACGGGCGGCUGCAGUGGGGAAUAUUGGACAAUGGGCGAAAGCCUGAUCCCGCCAUGCCGCGUGUGUGAAGAAGGCCUUCGGGUUGUAAAGCACUUUCAGUGGGGAAGAAAGCCUUGGGGCUAAUACCCUCGAGGAAGGACAUCACCCACAGAAGAAGCACCGGCUAACUCCGUGCCAGCAGCCGCGGUAAUACGGAGGGUGCGAGCGGUAAUCGGAAUUACUGGGCGUAAAGCGCGCGUAGGCGGUCUGAUAAGCCGGUUGUGAAAGCCCCGGGCUCAACCUGGGAACGGCAUCCGGAACUGUCAGGCUAGAGUGCAGGAGAGGAAGGUAGAAUUCCCGGUGUAGCGGUGAAAUGCGUAGAGAUCGGGAGGAAUACCAGUGGCGAAGGCGGCCUUCUGGACUGACACUGACGCUGAGGUGCGAAAGCGUGGGUAGCAAACAGGAUUAGAUACCCCUGUAGUC